AAAAGAAGUCCCAAUCUAUGUAGCUCUGCUAUCGCACUAUCGCAGCAACUCCUGAGACUGUGAGCCCUCCCCGUCUCAAAGCAGGAGCCUAGAACACAAAAACAUACAAAGAACAUGUAGCAGCCUACCAUCUUCCCACUGUGUUGGCAUCAUCUGUUCUUGCUCCAGGACUGAGUAAACAUAAUGUUGAUGAGAUGCAGCAGACUGACAGCCCUGGCAAUUGAACUCAUGCAUUUAUCUCCAUCAUGGGGCAACAAAAGGCCAAGACUACCUCUUGUCUUGUGAGCUCUAACUUGAAGGGAUGGCCUCAAAUAAGUACUCAGUACCUGACAUUCUGUGACUCUAUGAUUCGAUGAAAUAUCUAAAUGGUUUCAAGGGGCCACUAACAACAUAAGCAGUGGUGGACGCAAUCUGGAUCACAGGAAGUUCGGAAAGAACACAAGAAAAAACCUUUGUUUCUUGGAGGCAUACAGAGCACUGCAGCAAGCUGGUCAAAGAAGUCAUGAAAUCUUAUUUUCUGGAGACAGUCAAAACCCAUCUGGAUUCUGUCACGUGCAGCCUACUCUAUGGAACCUGCUUAGCAGGGCAUUGACUUAGGACAUCUCCAAAUGUCCUUUCCAACUCCUAGAGUACUGUGAUUCUGUGAUCUUCCUUCACAUAAAUAUCGUAAUAUAUAAAUGAGUAGGAGUUCUGACUGUAAUAAUUAAAAGCAUGUUCUAAAAUAAAAUACAAUUUAAAUAUUUGAAUAAUCAAUAGUUACCGGUUCUUUUUUUUAUUUAAAUUUUUGACAAAUCUUUCACCUUAUAUCUGACAAGCUUUUCUUACUUAAAACAAUAAAAACAAAAUAUUAAGUGGACUAACAUAUUGUAAUGGGACACAGCAAGUUUGUAAUACUGGAAAUAUGCAUCUACAAAGCUCUUUGGAAAUCAGUAAAUGAACAGUUUUUGGCAUUUAUCAGAAAAUAGCCUCUGUCUUUCCAAUUUCUUUUGGUAAAUAAGAAAUAUCUCUAGAUCUCUAGAUGUUUCUCAUUCCUCAAUAUUCUUGCUUCUGCAGGAGAUCUGAUAUAAUAAAUAAAAAUACAUUGGCAUUAGUUGCAGUCCAAAAGAAGAAACAGUUCAGUGUGGUAUCGUGAAUGUUGAAUGAACAUUGUAUGGAUAAAAAUACUGAAGAUAUAGCCAUUUGCACAAUAAUUUGACUCCUUGUACUUUUAUUAUCACAGUAUAUUUCCCUACUUUUGCAGAGCAGGAAACUAAUGCCCAUCUUGGGAUGAGAUAUUUAAAUUUUUGGGGGUAUCUUUGUUUUACUGUGGUGUUUUCUUAUAUUGCACUCUUUGUUCCAACAAAGCAAUCCUCUUUUAGACAGCAGUGAGAGAAUAUAAAAUAAAAAACUGAUGAGAAGCCCUAUUCCUAAUGCUCAAACAUGCUCAGACUAAUUGUCUGAGUAGACAUUAACUACAGUUAUUUUGAAAUGCUUACAGGGCACUUAUUUCUCUAUGUGCAUAUAUGUGCACACUUGUAUGUAUUUGCAUGUGUUUGUAUACAUAUACACAAAAAUAUGUACACAAACAUAACUACAGAAUGAGUGUACAUCAAUCUGAACUCUCUCCUUGACUUUCUUUUUCUGCCUACCUGCAUAAACUGUUAAGAAUUCUUACUUUUCUUUGUUAAAAUGACUCAGAUAAAUGUAUUAUUUAAAUGUGUAUUCAGAUAUGAGUAGUUUCACAUCUGUUUACUAUAAAUAGUUGUGUUUUUCAAUUAGUAAAGUUCUUAGUGAAGGUUAUAAAACCUAGCUGUCUUCCAACCUGUCCUGAUCCGUAUGAAGAUCUGUCUGAGGGACUGUAAGGACAUGG